rnacentral:lncRNA from 1 species
AAACGGGCGCGCCAGGGUUUGCUGGAACCGGGGUUGCUUAGGGGUUCUCGCCCCGUCUAGUCCGAGACUGCUGAGCACCUCGCCCCCGGGGGACCAAGCUCAGGCCUCCUGGCACUAGUGGUUAUAAAGAGGUACCCAUAUGCUCUCUGCCGCCCCUGCCAAAAAAAGGGCCACGGAGGGGAAGAGAAAAAGCACACACCAGGCGCCGCGGCAGGUGAACUUGUCAACAAGUCAACCCUGGACGCAAGUCCCUGCCCACCAGGGAGCUCGGGGUCCUGGGGCCGGAGCCGCCGGGAAGGCGAGGCGCGCGGUGGGUGGGUGGGGUGGGCUGGCAUGGGUGCCGGUGCUCCCAGCGCUGGGGCCGGAGCGCGGAACGCUUCCCUACCGCUCCCCCGGGGCUGACGCACGCUCUCACGGCGCGCGCAUCCUCCAGACCUUCCCAGGCCGGAGGGAGGAGGGGAGGGGAAGGGGCUGAUGCGGUUCCCGCACCGGGAUCCGGGACCCGAGGAGGCGACUCGCCUAUCACGCGCCGCCCGCGGAGGGCAGAGAAGGCAGCUCCUACCAGGCGUCCCCGACCGUCCCGGCUGCCGGGCGUCUCCUGCUGCUUCCUGCAGCCCGCCCGGCGCGCCCCCGCCCCGACCCCGGAGGGCAGGUACCUCGGAGCCCCGGCCCCCAGGAGCCUCCCGGCCGCGGUCGGAGCGUCCCUCCGGAUCACUCAUCCGACGUCAGCGUCAGCCGAAGGCGAGGGAAAGGGGCGGGGGGAGCGCAGGAACCGGCCCUUCCUGCGGCGGCCGCCACCAGCCGGAAUAGCAACCGGCGGAGCCCGUGCGCACCGCAGCGCAGCGCAGCGGCCGGGGGGUGCGGGCGCCCUCGCCGCCCGGCUACCUACCGCCGCCUGGGCGCCGCCGCUGCCUCCCUUCCCCGCUUCUACCCUCCAGCAGACGCCCGCCGGAGCGACCCCUCCCAGGGUGACCGGGGGAAGGUGUUCCACGUGGCCAUAGCGUUUGCGUCACAAUGACCUGGCGGACAGGUGGGAGCCACAGCGUACACCCCAGGGUUCCCUCUGUGCUGUGCGUAGUGCCUACUGCUUGCUUCCAGGUUAAAUUUCUGUAGCUUUAGAGGACAGGAGACUUCAUGACUUCACUGCCAAGAAAAGUUACAGAGGCCUGCUGUACCUGGAAAUCAAGUUUGAGCUUCGAGAAUAAAGGUCAUGUUUUAAAAACAGCUGUGUAUGUAUAGAACACCAGUAAGGUGCUAGUGAGAACCCGAAACAGUUUCUAAGGAGAAUGGCUAUUGAAUGAUGGGAUCAGAAAUUAGGAGAGAAAUAAGGACCCUGGGCCAGGGAAAGAAAUGAAUGAAGAUGCCACCUUAUGCCCAGAACACAUCUCUCAUUCAAUGAUAAAGGAUUUGUGGUUGGGUCAACUUUUGUGAUGCUCAACUCUUUCCUUCGUAAGGACGGGCUCUUUCUCAGGAGGCUUUUGUACUCCCAAUUAACGCACUGCUAAUCUGAUGAAGCUCUAUUUUGUAGCUAUGCCAUCUGGAUCACAUAGCCUCCAAGGCCAGCAGAGCAGAGGAAGACAAAGAGCAGAGCAAGAUAGAGGUGGAAGUUACACGUCCUUUGUGCUUACUUUCUACUGGCCUCAUCGGGUCGCAAGAUCCCACUCUGAUAGGUGCAUGGGGGCUUGGAAAAUUAGAAAAACAUGUGAAUAUUUGGUAGGCACUUACAAUCUCUGCCAGCAUCUGCCCUUCUAAUCAGCAAAUUUUCAAUUACUUUUUUCUUCACCCACAUAAGACAUCUUAAUCCAACCUCAGGGGACACAUCCUGAUGUCCAAUCUAGUCACUACUUCAAGCUUAAUGGGAUACAUGGGCCUCUCUGUCAUGUCUGCAUGAGGCUCUUCUUGAUCAGUUGACCUAUGAACUGAAAGAAAGCAUAUAUCGUUGUCCUCCACUGUCUAUAUCACUGCAUACAGAGUGGUGGAAAGGAACAGAAUAACGAUGGUAUACAUUCCUAUUUGAAAGGGGAUGAUUAGAGACACAAAACAAUGAUAACAUCUCACUGGUCAGACAUGGUGAAAGUUCCCCUGUGCAGGGGAUGGUAAAUGUUCCUUAAUUAGGCCUUGGUUCUGGUCCUCGAGAGGCAUUCUUUUAUCCAUUGUCCUCUAUGGCUGUAAUCUGUGCCCUCCAAGAUAUUCUUUCUUUUCCAUUACUCUCUGAAGUGGUUGAGGGGGAAUACGUCUUCCUUUGGGGCUGCACGGUUUUCUCAGCAAACUUCUUUCCCACAGAACAUUGGCAGCUUAAGGGUUAUAAGUCUCAAAAUGUCAGUGGCUUUUUUUAGUCCAGGCUCAUGAUUUAUUUAACAAUGCAUUUCCCUCAAACACACAGUAGGCUUCUGAUCUAUUUGCUUUAAAUAACUUUCAUGUGGUAGUAACCACACCUAAAGUUCUUUUCUAGGCAUAAUUCUAAAAUCUGCUUUGUUUCGUUGCUUUCUCACUUCUGUGCAUUUCUCUCUCUUCUAUAUGGGGGCUGUGUUGAAGAUGUCUGACUAAGAGGUAGAAAGUUCACACACUUAAUCUGUUUACACUCUUAAUUGAUUCUCAUCCUAAGUCAUUUCAUCCAAUGGGGACAUUUCACUGUGAUUUUGUGGCAGUCUUUUGAGAUGCCAAGUCUUCCUGUUUAGAGCCUAGAAGUAGUCACUGUUCCAACUUAGAAACUUCCAAAUUUCUGAACGAUUUUUAUUCCUUUCAUUUCUGUUUGCAAGCCAGCCAGGGUUUUCCUGAGCUUAUUUCAUUAUUGUAAUCCUCUGCCAAAUACAGCCAACAUUCACUUUCAACAUUGUUUCCCUAAGUCGUUGGACUCAGAAGCCCCACAGUCUGCCUCCCAAAUUACCACAGGAUUUUAAUUUUUGCCAAAUGGUUUCCUACUGCUUAAAAUGGAUUGCCAUUUUUUCCAGCCUCUAACAUUGGAUUCUUCACUGCCCUCUGCCUAAUUACUAAGUCAUUGCUACACGUUUCAGGUUUCUUUGUGUUGGCCUCUUAUCACUGAUAAAAAUUCUGAAUUUGUUAGGAUAGGCUAGACUAUGCUGUGAAAACAAAUAUCCCCAUUUCAAUUCACUUGCUGAACAAAAUGAAGUUAUCUUUUUUGUUCACACAAAAUCUCCAGGUUCCCGUCUGAUUUCACUUUGGGCUGUGGUUGUGAGUAUUGGAGAAGUAUAAAUUGUGGGGCAAAUGGAAAGGAAGUUCAAGGUGACAUUUUGCUUAGCAAACUCGAAGUGUAUGUUGGUAUUAUUGCUUAGGUAUGGUAUAUUUAUUUGUAUGUUUACAUAGUGUGACUGCCUAAUGGCAUUAAAAAAAUCUAUAGUGCAUGGUUCACUGUUUUCCCUUCGCUGAGAAGAGCAAUGAGUAAGAAUAGAAAUAGGAAUAUAUUUUAUCUGAUGAACCAGGGUGAAAAUUAGCAAAAAAUUUGUGACAGUGGAUAUAUAAAAUAAAAUUUCCCCUUAAGUUAUAUAAUCAUGUUUACACUUUUUGCAUAUGUAACUAAAUGAAUGUAUACUUUCUUCUAGUGGCUUACUGGUAGAAAAUAAACACAGAUGUUUUUGUUUUAUAUUUUACAGCAAUGCUUUCAGUAACCUGGAGAGGUACACAUGGCUGGUAUAACAAUUAUCUUCAUUUAAUGAUGUGGAAACACCUACCACAAGUCCUGGCACAUUGAGGGUCUUGAAUAAAUUCUGUCAGAUGAACGGACAAGCGCACAAAAGGUUGAAAGAGUGAAUGAGGCAGGCACAAUUGUGAUAUUCAACGAGAGUAGUGCGAAGUGCCACUUUACAGCCAAACAUUCAAUUCCUCCUAAUUCACAAGGGAGAGAGGGAUCAAGUUGUGCAGCUGGGAGGUGAUGUUUCUUCCCAGCAGCUGUCAUUGAGGAGACACGUGCAAACCAUAGAAGUCAUUUGUCACAAGAACCCCAUCCAGAAUUUGCUAUGUGCGUCUCACUUGCUAACGUGACAUGAAAUACUGAAGCUUUCAAAAAUCAAGUACAGAGACUUUGUUGUGUUGACAUGGGCAAAAUGAAAUGAAGAGCUGAGGCAAUUAUGUGGAUAAAUCAGGCCAAAAAUAUCCAACCAUUGAGAGGAAAAAGUUCCUUUGGCUCAAAUUAUUCAGAGUGACUGUCCAUGUUCAUCAAUUUAUCAGGAUAAUGAAUUUUAUCCUAUACUUUACUUUGUCACUAUAGAUAUAUCUUUAGUCUAUGAAUUUGAAUGACUUUGUGAUAUUUUACUUCACUGAAAAUUAUAAUAGGGGUUGAAUGAGCAAGCACCGUGUUAAAAGAUUGCUACUGCAGCUAUGAUAAUAGUCCAGGAGAUUUUAAACCCCGUUAUUCAAUAGCUAGCAGACAUAGUUAUUGGAAUGGGGGUAGAGAGGGAGACACGAAAUCUGUUGAGAAUCAAAUGCUUGUAACUAAUCUGUCUUUCCCAUUUAGCAUCCUAUUAUCCAAAAAUAUCUUGGUCUGUAGCUCCCACCUGGUUUCCUGGUCAUUUGACUACUGGUUAAAUGAGCCUGAAAAUUUCAUCAGGUUUCAUAUAAAGAAUAAUAUAUUAUAGUUACAUACAUAUAAAUGUAUAUCUUUGUGUAUUUUUAAUAUCCCUUAUUUAUCUACAAAGAGAUGAAUGUUUGAAAUAUGUGACGGAUAAGCAAGGUCAAUUCUUGUGUCUGCUCAUGCAUUGGCAUUGAGCUUUCUGCUUGGAGUCCUUAGCAUAUUCCGCACUUGAGCCAUCCUUCUUGUUUCUUCAUACUUCCAGAGCCACUAGAAUCACAGGCAAAAGGGCAGGAGCUUCUCCUUGGGGCAGAGGGAGAACCUCUGAGCAUUACCCUGGGUGGUUUGGUCCUGCCAGAGUCUCUUAAACAUUAGAGACAACUCACCAUUUGGAAGUUACAAAUCAUGAAAGUGCUCACUGAAGCAAAAUAAUACCACAUAAGAAAUAAAUGCCUAAUGUUGAUGAACAUUUUAAUCUUUAUUAUAAAAUUAUAACACAAAGAAGAAUCCUGAAGAAUGACCCUAAAGCUUUUGUCACAAUAGCAUUGUAAUGGAAAUACAGGUGUGUUUUCUUUUCUUUCUUUUUUCCUUUUUUGAGACAGGGUCUUGCUUUGUCACCCAGGGUGGUGUGCAGUGGAGCUAUCAUGGCUCACUGUAGCCUCGACCUCCUGGGCUCAAGCAAUCCUCCCACCUCAGCCUAUUGGGCAGCUGGGACUACAGGCAUGCAUAACCACAUCCAGCUAAUUUUUUGUAGAGAUGGGGUUUCUCCAUGUAUUGCCCAGGCUGGUCUCGAACUCCUUGGCUCAAGUGAUUCUCCCACCUUAGCCUCCCAAAGUGCUGGGAUUACAAGCAUGAGCCACCACACCUGGCCUAUGUGUGUUUUAUGAUUAAAAAAGAAAUACAUACAAUUAUUGGGACAGAACAAAAUAAAGAGAAAAAUACAAAUUACCUGUAAUUCAACUAUCCAGAGAUAAUUAUUUUUUACGGACUGAAUGAUGUUCUCCAAAAUUCAUAUGUUGAAGCCCUAGCCCCUAAUGUGAUUAAUAUGGUUUGGCUGUGUCCCCACCCAAAUCUCAUCUUGAAUUGUAACUCCCACAAUUCCCAUGUGUUGUGGGAAGAAACUAAUGGGAGGUAAUUGAAUCAUGGGGACGGGUCUUUCCCAUGCUGUUCUUAUGAUAGUGAAUAAGUCUCACGAGAUCUGAUGGCUUUAAAAAAUGGGAGUUUUCCUGUAUAAGCUCUCCCUCUCUUUGCCUGCUGCCAUCCAUGUAAGACAUGACUUUUUCCUCCUUGCCUUCCACCAUGAUUGUGAGGCCUCGCCAGCCAUGUGGAACUGUAAGUCCAUUAAAUGUCUUUCUUUUGUAAGUUGCCCAGUCUCAGGUAUGUCUUUAUCAGCAGUGUGAAAAUGAACUAAUACAGUAAAUUGGUACCAGUAGAGUGGGUUGCUGCUGUAAAUACCCGAAAAUGUGAAAACGACUUUGGAACUGGGUAACAGGCAGGGGUUGGAACAGUUUGGAGGGCUCAGAAGAAGACAGGAAAACGUGGGACAGUUUGGAACUUCCUAGAGACUUGUUGAAUGACUUUGCCCAAAAUGCUGAUAGUGAUAUAGACAAUGAAGUCCAGCCUGAGGUGGCUUCAGAUGGAGAUGAGGAACUUCUUGGGAACUGGAGCAAAGGUGACUCUUGUUAUGUUUAGCAGCAUUUUGCCCCUGGGCAUUUUGCCCCCAUCCUAGAGCUUUGUGGAACUUUGAACUCGAGAGAGAUAAUUUUGGGUAUCUGGCAGAAGAAAUUUCUAAGCAGCAAAGCAUUCCAGAGGUGACCUGGUUCACCACUUGGGUGCUGUUAAAGGCAUUCAGUUUCAAAAGGGAAAUGGAGAAUAAAAGUUCAGAAAACUUGCAGCCUGACAAUGUGAUAGAAAAGAAAAUCCCAUUUUCUGAGGAGAAAUUCAAGCUGGCUGCAGAAAUUUGCAUAAGUAAUGAGGAGCCAAAUGUUAAUCCCCAAGACAAUGGGGAAAAUGUCUCAAGGGCAUGUCAGAGGUCUUCACAGCAGCCCCUCUCAUCACAGGCCCAGAGGCCAAGGAGGAAAAAGUGGUUUUGUGGGCUGGGCCCAGGGUGCCUCGCUGUGUGCAGUCUAGGGACUUGGUGUCCUGCAUCCCAGCUGCUCCAGCCAUGACUAAAGGGGCCAAGGUACAGCUCAGAUUGUUGCUUCAGAGGGUACAAGCCCCCAGCCUUGGCAUCUUCCAUGUGGUGUUGAGCCUGUGUGUGCACAGAAGUCAAGAAUUGAAGUUUGGGAACCUCUGCCUAGAUUUCAGAGGAUGUAUGGAAAUGCCUGGAUGCCCAGGCAGAAGUUUGCUGCAGGGGCAGGGCUCUCAUGGAGAACCCCUAUGAGGGCAAUGCAAAAGGGAAAUGUGGGGUUGGAGUCCCCACACAGAUCUCUACUGAGACACCACCUAGUGGAGCUGUGAGAAGAGGGUCAUCACUAUCCUCCAGAACCCAGAAUGCUAGAUCCACCAACAGCUUACACUGUUUGCCUGAAAAAGCCACAGACACUCAAUGCCAGCCUGUUAAAGCAGCUGGGAGGGAGUCUGUACCCUUCAAAGCCUGGAUGUGAGACAUCGAGUUAAAGGAGAUCAUUUGGAGCUUUAAGAUUUGACUACCCCACAGGAUUUCAGACUUGCAUGGGGCUUGUAGCCCCUUUGUUUUAGCCAAUUUCUCUCAUUUGGAAUGGCUGUAUUUACCCAAUGCCUGAACCCCCACUGUAUCUAGGAAGUAACUAAUUUGCUUUUGAUUUUAUAGGCUCAUAGGCUGAAGGGACUUGCUUUGUCUGAGACUGUGGACUUUUGAGUUAAUGCUGAAAUGAGUUAUGACUUUGGAGGAAUAUUAGAAAGGCGUGAUUGGAUUUGAAAUGUGAGGACAUGAGAUUUGGAAGGGGCCAGGGGUGGAAUGAUAUGGUUUGGCUGUGUCCCCACCCAAAUCUCAUCUCUAAUUGUAACUUCCACAAUUCCCAUGUAUGAUGAGAGGAAACAGUGGGAGGUAAUUGAAUCACAGGGACGGGUCUUUCCCAUAUUGUUCUUGUGAUAGUGAAUAAGUCUCAUGAGCUCUGAAGGCUUUACAAAUGAGAGUUUCCCUUCACAAGCCCUCUCUCUCCCUCUCUUUGCCUGCUGCCAUCCAUGUAAGACAUGAUUUGUUCCUCCUUGUCUUCCACCAUGAUUGUGAGGCUCCCCAGCCAUGUGGAAGUGUAAGUCCAAUUAAACCUCUUUCUUUUGUAAAUUGCCCAGUCUUGGGUAUGUCUUUAUCAGCAGCAUGAAAACGGACUAAUACAGUGAUAGUAUUUGAAAAGGGGCCUUUGGGAGGUAAACAAGGUUAAACAAGGUCAUGAGGACCCUAAUCCAAUAGGAUUUGUGCCCUUAUGAAAACAGGGAGAGACAAACCAGAGCUCAUUGGCUAUCUCUUCCAUGUUGGGACACACAAAGAAGAUGGCCAUCUCCAAGACAGAAAUGUGAUCAUGCUGGCACCUUGACCCUGAACUUCUAGCCUUUGGAACUGUGAAAAUAAAUUUGUUUUUUACGCCACCCAGUCUAUGGUAUUUUGUUAUGGUAGUCCAAGCUGACUAACACACCACUGUUAAUAUUUUUACAUCCUUUUAUAUUUUAAUAUUAUUCUAUACUAAAAUAUAUAUCUAUCCAUCAACCCAUCCAUCCUUACGUACCUAUAAAGAUGGUGCUAUACGCAAUGGUUUACAUCAGCACUGUAUGAUAGACAUAUAUUGUGAAUCACAUACAUUAAUCACAUACAUUUAAAAUUUUUUUAGUGGCCUCUUUGGAAACAGAAAAAAUGAAAAUAUGAAAUUAAUUUUAGUAAUAUUUUAAAUUUAACCCAACAUAGCCAGAAAAUUGUCAUUUCAACAUGUAAUUAUUUAAAAAUUAUUCUUCAGGCCAGGCAUGGCGGCUCACUCCUGUAAUCACACUUUGGGAGGCCAAGGUGGGAGAACUGCUUGAGGCCAGGAGUUCAAGAUCAGCCUGGGCAACAUAGCAAGACCUUGUGUCUACUAAAAAUAAAAAAAAAUUAGCUGGGCAUGAUGGUGCAUGCCUGUAGUCUCAGCUACUCAGGAGGCUGAAGUGGGAGGAUAACUUGAGCCCAGGAAUUUGAGGCUGCAAUCCUGGUUGUGCCACUGUACUCCAGGCUGAGCAGCAGAGCAAGAUUCCGUCUCUGAAACAAAAAGUUAUUCUUGAGAUAAGUAACUUCUUUUCAAAAUUCUAAGUCUUUAAAAUAUCGUGUAUAUUUUACACAUACAGUACAUUUCAAUUUUGACUGACCACAUUUCAAGUGCUAUUACCACCAUAUUGGAAAGAGCAGUUUUAGAUCGAGGGCUUUCAGUCCUGGGCUGGAGUUGGGCUUCUCUACCUUAUUUGACAAAUGGCGUUAGACAAUUUAUUUAACUUUUUUUUUUUUUUUGAGAUGGAGUCUCACUCUGUCACCCAGGCUAGAGUGCAAUGGUGUGAUCUCAGCUCACUGCAACUUCUGCAUCCUGGGUUCAAGUGAUUCUCCUGCCUCAGCCUUCUGAGUAGCUGGGAUUACAGGUGCCCACAACUACACCCAGCUAAUUUUUGUAUUUUUAGUAGAGACAGGGUUUCACCAUGUUGGUCAGGCUGGUUGCAAACUCCUGAUCUCGUGAUCUGCCUGCCUUGGCCUCCCAAAGUGCUGGGAUUACAGGCAUGAGCCACUGUGCCCGGCGUAUUUACCUUUUUAAAUCCUGGGCUUCUUGUAUUUAAAAUGAAGGUAAUAGAAGCAUCUACUUCAAAGUGUUGUCAUGAUGCCUGAAUAAUCCAAUAUGUAAAGUAUGUAUACUUCAUGGUGGAGAGCACUCAAUAAAUGUUGGCUAAAAUUAUUUUUGUGGUUAUAAAAUGAAUAUUUAUUUUACAAUAAGUGCUAAUUUGAAUUUGAAAUCAUUUCCAACUUAAUAAUAUUUUUCCAUAAAGUCUAAAUUUAUAGACAUGCCAAAAAGUGAAAUGUGUUACCAUCAAAGGUUGUAUCUUCUCAUUGUAGUGUGUGUGUAUUUCCACUCCUGCUUUAGGAGAAGUAUGCUGGUGAGAACAUGCUAUCACAAAAAUCUUCCAGGACUGACAUGUGCCUUUAUUGAACUGAACCCCAAGGUCUGAUGGGCUGCAUUAUGUUGAGCAUUCAGGGAUCAUCUCACUUGUCAUUUUGCAAGAGAAGAGGAAGAAAGAAUAACCUGCUACUCUUCUAAACUCUACUUGGAAAAUUGCAGGAAUUUUAUCAGCCAUCCGUGAGCACAAGAAGAUAUAAGCAAAAGCCACACAGAGAGAAGACCUGUUCUAGACUCUUAUCAGCCAAACACAAUGCCCAAGAAACAGCUAGAAGGUUUCAUUUAACCAGAGAAGAGCUCCUGCUUUGAAAUGUUUUCAAAGUUUCCAUGACAAAAUAUUCUUUCACAGUCUCUGCUUCAGUGAGCUGCUUUGUAUUUCUAGCGCAGCUAAGCAAUUAAAAGAAGAUGAAUAGAUGUAUUCCGGCAUGUGUGAUAACAAAUGGCAUACUUAAGGUGACAAGGUUUUCUGUGUUAACUGGCUUUGCAGUCACUUGCAAGUUUUUGAAAAAUACUCCCUUUUAUCGGAAGUUUUUCCCUUCUUAAUCUCAGCUUAAAGGCUAUUUUUUCUCAAAGCAAAUUGGAGGAGGACUUUUGAAGUCAUCUUUGAUGGGACAAAAUAUAUGUACAUAUUCUCUCUGUGCAAAGGAAUUGCUGCUUUUCUUAUGACAGCUUAAAAUUGAUAAAGUUUUAAGCAUCAAGACAUUCACCAUUACAAAAGAUGCUCAUGUGUCUAUGAAUGAUGAGACUUCCACAGGAAACCAAGGUGGUCCAUUUAAAUUGCUACUCUAUGGCUCCUGUUGGCAGUAAUGUUCAUGUAAACUGGAGAGGCUCUCCAAAGAUCUUGAACUCAGGACAUUUUUGGAUCUAGACUAUUCUUAGGGACAGGAAAUAAUGGGAAUUUAGAUACCAUUUUGAUUGCAAGUUGAUGGAAAGUUGGCAU